AGCAGAUAAAAAAGUGGUGAAAAGCAUAUAAAGGUGAGUUCAAUCAUUCAUCAUGCAGCCCCACCAACAAAACAAACAAUAAGAAAAGACCAAGGAUGUCUAUCAGAGACUUGCAGUUGACCCUCAAUAUCUCUAUAUAAUCAUCAUCUCCUAGCAUUUUCACAAAGUUUUGAAUGAAUACGGCAUUCAAAUGCAUUGUCUCAUUACCCUGAUCAUAUUUCUAUCAACUGCGGAGGAGCUGCAGCUGUCAGUGGCAGAAAAUGGAGCGGAGACGCUACACCGAAAGCUUCAUCAAAGGAAUCAACUGUCAAGGGAGAGCUGAUCACAGCCGUCGAUCCAGUUCCCUUCAGCACUGCACGCAUCUCCCGCUCCCAAUUUUCCUACUCCUUUCACCUCACUCCAGGUCAGAAAUUUAUCCGCCUUCACUUCAAUCCCGUGCCUUACUACGGUUUUGAAAGCUUCCACGAUUUCUUCACCGUCGAAGCUGGUCCUUUCAUGCUACUUGCUAAUUUCAGUGCUUCCAUAACUGCUCGUGCUCUUGCUCUCAAUGUUAUUGCCAAAGAAUUCUGCUUAAUCAUACAAGAAAAUCAACCCCUACACAUAGUAUUCUCUCCGGAAACUUUGUUUAAUUAUGCUUUUGUUAAUGGGAUUGAGAUUAUUGAAAGAUAUUAUGUACUAGAUUAGGAUAUAUUUGAUAUAUUCUAAUACUAAGUAAGACAAUUCAAGUGUGAAUUCCUUAGUCGUAAUUGUUGACUCAAGAAGACAAGACAAUUUAGAAUUGUCUUCUUCGCUUAUAAAUAAAGGAGAUUGGUCUUACGAAGAAUAUACGAAAAACACUAAGAGAGCACUAUAGUUUCAAUCGGAGAUUUCCUAGCUGUCGACGAUUGAAUCGUGCACUUGGAAUAGUUCCUGCAUCGAAUCGACAUACACGUGGAUACCUUAGUAGUGGAUUCACGGCAAGAAUCGAGACGCACGUUUACCACACAACGAGUAAGUUAUUCUUUUCGUUGUGUGCCUAUCUCUACACAUGAUGCAUUUGUAAAUCUAGAUCUAAUCCUUGAAUGUAUAUUCUGCUGCGUAUCAUUAGAUGAUGUCAAGGAAAACUAACUGUGGUAUCAGAGCCCGGGCUCGAUUUACAAUUGUGAUUGUGUUCUAAUUGUUUAUGGGUUGAGAAUAUUUGAUUUUAGAAAUGGUUUCUAAAAUGAAUCUGAAAUUGGAAAUUUUGGAAAUCUGUUUCGACUUUUGAAUUGGAAUUGAAAUCGAAAGUUUUGGAAUUGGGAUUUUGUUGCUGGGCAACAUUUGAAACUUUGCUGGGCCAUUCACCGGAUCCAAGCCGACCACCUUGAUGAACGAGGCGGCGACAGUGGCUCGGGGCUCGCCGGUGAGCAGCGCCCGACCACCUGCCGCUGGUUGCGUCGCGGUGCGUCGUGGCUUCGAGCCAACGUCCGCUGCAUCUCUUUAACAGACCUGCCAACUCGAUCUUGGAGUCCGGCAAUGGUGGAGGUCUUGCACGCCUCCGGGCGGUGAACGGCGACAGGGAGCUUCGAGCUCCUGCCGGAGUGGCUAAGGAACGGUGAGGACGCAGGCAAGCGUCUGGAGACGUCGCCGCUUACCUCCGACGCGCCUUCGAGCCGCGACCGGCGAGGAUCUGUCCGGCGAGGUCGCGCGACGUCGUCUGCAUCGUGGCUUCGAGCGGCGGCGGCGUGGCUCCAGGGCUCCGGGCGUGGGGACGGGAAGGAGAAGGCGGCAGCGGGCUGCCGGGAAAAGGAAGCGGCUGCUGCUGCUAAAUCUCCUCUCAAACCCUUGCUGCUGAAAUUGAAUUUGGGCUGUUAUAGUUUUGGGCCCGGACUGGGCCUGAGGCAGCUGGGCUGUGUUUUAAAGGGCUGGGCUUGCGAUUUUUUAAAUAUAAAGGCCCCUAUGUGGGCUGAAACUGUUUUUUUAAAAAAAAAUCUUUUAUUAAUUUUGAAUUAAUAAUUGAAUCCCAAUUUCAGAAUUAAUUUAUUAAUUGGAU